AGUUUCUUUUUGCGGCAAAAUAUGAUUUUGAAAGUCAUUAAGAGACGUUCGACUCGUCUAGAAACUU
rnacentral:tRNA from 1 species